AUGGAAGCUGUGUUCAGGCCGGUCCACGCUGGGUGACCCAUGUGACCUGCUGCUUAGCAAUUCCUUGUCACCAUCUUCCCUUCUCAGCCUCUUUUUUCAUGCUAACAGGCAUAAAUGAAAUGAUAAAAGUUUGAGCUCUUCUCGUGGAAUUCUCGUGAUACAGAUAUGUGCUACAUGUUCAUCAUCUCGUUGGUCUUCACCAUGAUAACUGUGGAGUAAGAAUUAUAAGCAGGUCACAGAUUAGGGACUUGAGAUUGACAGUUUGGCUUCCCUGUUCUGGGUGGCAAAGCCUGUGGAGUACUCACCUACCUGCUGCAUGAAGGCAGCAUGGAGGGACUGUGGUGGAUUAUCUGCAAAGAUGGCCAAAAUUCUCUCAUCCCUGCAGGCACAUACAAGGUAAGAACACCUUUACCAGUGGAAUGUGAUGAAAAUGCUGCCCAGACAAUUCUAGACAGGGCCUUAAGAGGUCUAGAUGCUUCCACAUUUGCUUUCUUGGGAGCUCUGAGUUAUCAUGUGAGAACCACCAGUCUCCCCAACCUGCACCCUAAGCUCAUUAUCCACAAGGCUGUGCAAAAUAAUAAAUCACUGUUGUUAGGACGCAAAGUUUGGUAGUGGUUUGUUAUGUAGUCGUGGAUAACUGCAGCAGGGAUCUCAGCAACUUUUC
rnacentral:lncRNA from 1 species